UUAAGAUUAGCAUGUCCAAAUGUUAAAGCGCAGUCUGACCCAAAGGACUUCAAGGGAAAAAAUAAAUAAAAACUGAGCCCAGCUCCAGCUGGGUCGCUAAAAAUAUGGAUUUAAUUUUUCCCUAUUAGUACUGCGGCUUUCUCACGCUCACGGAUAACAGAGUAAGACACAUCUGUGCACCUGUUUCAUCCAGGUUACAGUAUGCUGAAUGUCACAAGGAUCAUCAUGCUUCUGCAGUCACAGUCAGAGCCCCUGCAGUUGUGCUAAGGAGCAGGAGCCCCGGCUGAAUUUGCGGUUUGCCAAACGUACGAGCCUCCAGUGUAGGGGCCCGCACCCACAGCCCCACAGCCCCACAGCCCGCGUCUGUCCCACCCAGAGACCACCCAAGCCCCCUCACACCACCCCCCUGAUGAAAACCAUCAAUAAGUACGUGGAAAUGACCUCAGUGUCGCCUGCUCAAUAAAAUGCCACAUCAA